CCGACCUUAGCUCAGUUGGAAGAGCGCAAGACUGUAAAUCUUGAUGUCGCCUGUUCGAACCAGGCAGGUCGGA
rnacentral:tRNA from 1 species